UGAAAUAAACGACAGUAAAGAGUAUUGGGUUGUUUUGAAAAUGUUUUUAAAAAUUAUUUUUACUGUUUCAGAGAGAACUUAUUUUAAACCCGAUUAAAAAAAUCUUAAUGAAGCUGCAGAGAUGAAUCUGAGAUCAAUGAAUAUCCACUUUUCACAAUUUAAUUGAUCACUCAAACUCACUUUCUAUUGGCAACAACCAUUCUGCUUGAUUGAUCGUAA
ensembl:ncRNA C48A7.12 ncRNA